GUUAGUGUUAGGUGCCGCGAAUUUAUUAUUAUGAUAAAUUCAAAAUGUGCCGCGAAUUUGUCAUAAUGAUAAAUUCGGACGUGUUUAAGAAUUUACUCAUAUAGUAAAUUCAAAGGUGGAGCUCAUGCUGAAAUUUUUGUUUAUUUCGUCAUUCCGCUGAUAUGGCGAAUUCUUUGACGACUGCAAUAUAUUUCUGAAUCGUUUGAGUGUAAAUUGCUCCUUAUGAUUAAAAUAUCCAAAAUUAGAAAAAUCCGGAAAAAACCGAAACUGACGUCGUUAGCUAUGUCCGGUGAAAAUUUAAGAAAAAUUCGCUAAAAC